CGAAAGCCUGAUGCAGCAACGCCGCGUGCGGGAAGAAGGCCUUAGGGUUGUAAACCGCUUUCAGCAGGGAAGAAACUGACGGUACCUGUAGAAGAAGGUGCGGCCAACUACGUGCCAGCAGCCGCGGUGACACGUAGGCACCAAGCGUUGUCCGGAUUUAUUGGGCGUAAAGAGCUCGUAGGCGGUUCGGUAAGUCGGGUGUGAAAACUCUGGGCUCAACCCAGAGCCGCCACCUGAUACUGCUGUGACUCGAGUGCGGUAGGGGAGCGGGGAAUUCCUGGUGUAGCGGUGAAAUGCGCAGAUAUCAGGAGGAACACCAGUGGCGAAGGCGCCGCUCUGGGCCGUGACUGACGCUGAGGAGCGAAAGCGUGGGUAGCAAACAGGAUUAGAUACCCUGGUAGUCCACGCCGUAAACGUUGGGCACUAGGUGUGGGUCUCAACCAACGAGAUCCGCGCCGUCGCUAACGCAUUAAGUGCCCCGCCUGGGGAGUACGGUCGCAAGACUA
rnacentral:rRNA from 1 species